GCCAGACUCCUACGGGAGGCAGCAGUGGGGAAUAUUGCGCAAUGGGGGGAACCCUGAUGCAGCGACGCCGCGUGAGUGAAGAAGUAUUUCGGUAUGUAAAGCUCUGUCAGCAGGGAAGAAGAAAGACGGUACCUGACCAAGAAGCCCCGGCUAACUACGUGCCAGCAGCCGCGGUAAUACGUAGGGGGCAAGCGUUAUCCGGAUUUACUGGGUGUAAAGGGAGCGUAGACGGCAGGGCAAGUCUGGAGUGAAAGGCAGGGGCCCAACCCCUGGACUGCUCUGGAAACUGUCCGGCUGGAGUGCAGGAGAGGUAAGUGGAAUUCCUAGUGUAGCGGUGAAAUGCGUAGAUAUUAGGAGGAACACCAGUGGCGAAGGCGGCCUGCUGGACAGAAACUGACGUUGAGGCUCGAAAGCGUGGGGAGCAAACAGGAUUAGAUACCCUCGUAA
rnacentral:rRNA from 1 species